GCUUCAUCCGAGGGCUUAGCGCGCGAGGACUGAAAUACCAGGGUGGAGAGUUGUAACAGUCCGUCUUAUUUUUUCUGUUUUUAUUCGAUUGCAUUUUUAUAUUUAUAUUUUUCUUUGAAAAGCACAUUGAAUUGCUCCUAUGUAUGAAUUGUGCUAUAGAAAUAAACGUGCUUGCUUUGCUAUGCUACCAGCUCACACAGACAGAAGGAAAACACUUAGCAUUUACAGACUCCUCAUUAUCCGGCCUAAUGAGAAAUUAAUGAGAUGCCAGGCGACACUGACAGACUACGUUACUGGAAGGAGGAUAUAGGUGGCAGCAGGAGGGGUCUGCCAACCGAUGACCCCAUUUUUGACUUCCUUGUCUUCUUAGAAACCAUCAUACUUUGGGGAGAUGGAGCUGACGAAUGCGUCCGAUCUCUGAGCCUGUCCCAGAGCGACACUUCAGAAGGUUACCCAACCUGCUUUUAUGAAUCUGCCAAUAUGAUUAGCAGCAGAUGUGUCCAGAGUAGCCUGGUACCAAAUCAGCAGGGUCAUUUCAAACAGAGGAAACAAUUGGACGCAUCCCAGAGCCCACAACCAAUCAACAACGGACCAGAUGAGAUGAUGAGAUGCAGUACAAUGGCGCCAGGUCCCGACCCACCGGACUCAUCACACACCUUCUGUUCUUCAGGAACCAGAAGGAACCUAACGGAAACACAACAGGGAGGCGCCGACCUGAAUAUGUCUGAUAAGAAACUCACAUUCUCUGUUCGCAACAUUUGCACUAUUUAAUUCAACCCAGGACUCGGCACUGACUGACUGAGGGCCAAAUUCAUGUUUAUAACCGACCUACCAUGGCUUAGAAACACGCUGUGAAGGAGAUAAAUAUGAAGGGAAAAAUUAGAAGGAACACAUGAAUGGUUUGUAUCGGCGGGUGGUGUCAGUCAUUGAUAGGUCUCUGGAGAAUACUCUCAAGAGUUAAAUUUACGUUUUGCAAUGUCUGUGUAUGUUAUUGGCAGAAUCCUGUUUUUUAACCAUGUUACGUUUUGACGUUCUGUUCUAAGCGAACAGUUUAGACUAAACCCAAAAAGCUGAUAAUGGGCCUCUGUAUGCCUAUGUAGAUAUUCCAUUGAAAAUCAGCCGUUUCAGGCUACAGUAGUCAUUUACAGAAUGAACACUGUCUACACUGUGUUUCGGAUCAAUUUGAUGUAAUUCUAAUGGACAGAAAAUGUGCUUCUCUUUCAGAAAUAAGGACAUUUCUAAGUGACCCCAAACUUUUGUCCAGCAUCUCAUUAUCUUAUUGUUAAAUGAUCCAUGCAUUGGCCAUCUUAAAACAAUUACAUAUGUUAUCUUAGAAGAAAUUGCUAAUCCAGGUCAGAGAUUUAAAUCCCAUGCCCUGUGCUACUACAGCCUCUCUUUGCAAAGUUCUGGGGAUGAAAAGGGACAAAUAAACUUCAUCCGGGAAGGUGACAUUGACUUCAUCUCAGAGGUUUGGUAAUGGCUUAAUUGCAUUUUGUGGCUGAUUAAAAGAAAGAACAACAAUUCCAUCGCUAAAUAAAUCUGCAACAGACGGACCCAAGGCUGUGUUACGUAUUACGGGAAAAGAGCUGUAAGACUCUCCGCUAAGAGGGUGAAGCACUUUAACCAUGCUGCUCCACAGCAACGAUGAGACCAGGAUUUCUGACCAUGUUGUAACCUACUGGCGUUGUGAGAGUUCGGUCCAUGCAAUAACAACAUAACAGCUAUGAUAAAAUAAUCACAGCAGUCCUCAGUAGUCCAAAAGGACAUUCUCAGCAGGACUGGAAAUCUGGGCUUAAAUCUUUUUCGUUUCGUUUUAAAGGGGUUGUCAGGGCAUGUGUUGUAGAGGAGAAGACGGAGCACAUUAAAGAGAACCCUACACACAAACAUCUUUAUGUUCCCAGGUUUUGGACCAGAAACUGUGAAGUGUUUUUGAAUAUGUAACCAUAAAAUGGAUAGCAGCCUCGUAUUGUCCAUAAACAUUAUCAAAUAAAAAGAGCAGGUCCUUUAUUUUGGUGAACUUUCCCUCUAAAAGGAAUGCAGAAAACCAGGCCGAAGCUCACAAGAGAAUUGGCCAUCCAUCCCUGAUCUAUGUUACCCAAAUACUACAAUUUAUCCCACAAACAACAAAUAUUGAAUCUUCAGGUUGGUGAGGCUGAUUUGCAAAACCUUUACUGCACUGUUCAGAGACUUGAUAGUUAAAUAAUAAUUAAUACAUAUUUUUAAUGUUACAUAUUCCAAUGACUUGGCUUAUGUUCAAAUCUAUCCAUCACAAAUACUUGACAGAAUAUAUUGUUUUUAAGACAGAAGUCAUCAUGAUACAUUUGAAAUACCAAAUUACAUCAACAUAAUUUGUAGGGGAGGAAUGUGAAAGAAUGGAAAUAGCCAUUUGGGAAUUACAGUAGUGCUUUUGCUGAUAUUAGAACCCUAAUUAGUCUAUGUAGGCUAUUGGAGUGGUUGGGAAUUGUUCAGACAACUUACAUCAGCUAUUGUAAAACACCAAAUAAAUUAAACAAAAGACAAGAUGACAGCCUAAAAUGUGUAUUGUCCCUCCUCUGGAAUCAGUUACAUCUUUGGGUUGAUACUGUUUUUCGGCAACAUAUGUAUUUCAUAGUUUGACUGUACUUAGACUAUUGCAGGUCAGAAUAUAACAUGAACAAUAUGUGCCUACAGUCAUUCUGACUGCUGCCCUUUUGUUCUGAACUCCACACAUCAUGAGGGGCAUUUCUUUACAAUUGUGCAUGAAACUGCCUAGUACCAAAUCCUUGCUAAACUAACCACAAACUUCAAACAGUUGUAGUUAGCAGAGGAGUGGCAGCAAAAUGGUGCAGGCUUAAGAGGAAAGGUUGCCGUGAUUUUCAACUUUCCCACAUAGCUUGGAGUUGUUUGGAUGAGAGGGACUUGAAUACAAUGGUAAUAUUGGGGGUGGGAGACAGAGGGGCUAGAAAACAGACAUUUUAAAUAAAUACGUAAUCAAAAUAAUAAUGUAAUAAACAACAAAUUUAAAGUCUUGUCAGAUCAGUCCAAAGACUGAUCUGACAAAAAAUGUGUUGUGACUUUUAAGUCUUCAAAGGUACAUUAUCAAGAAUUGUUCAUACAAAUAGCCAGUAACAGCAAUAAUAACAUUGUAUGAAUCUGAGAUUAAAAUGUUCAGAAGAUUACAGGAUUAUAUCAAACUCAGGAAAAUAAUUUGCCAUAUUUCUCAAUAUCCUGCUUACUUUUUUUUAAGUCUUAGUAGCAAUCUUAGUAGGGCUUCAUGGCUUCUGCUUCAAUGACACUGGAUAGGAAUGAUUUGGCAGGAGAAUUUGGCGUGUUAAUUUGGUUGUUGCCCAAGCGCUUCUGCAUUGACUGUCAGUAUUAUACAAAGCCCUGUGAUAAAAUCAGAUCUAACAAACAUUCAUAUUUAGCCUGAGCACUAGAAAGUGUUUUGCCCAAAUCAGCUUAACAAUGAUUACAAUAGGCUGUCGUAUAUUUUAUACAACAUACUAACAUUUUUGAAAGUCAUAUCCCUUUAUGAUUGGAACUGUAGGAUUACUGAAAUAUUCUUCAUGAAAUGUAUUUGGUCAUGUUAAUUACCUCAGAAAUGUUUGCCAGAAUAUUUAAUUUCAUACAGACAUUGUGUCAGACAUGGAUUCAAAGAGUUGCGUUUACCACAGCCCAUCCAGGGACGUAUCGCAAGUGUUGGCUAAUAACUGCUGGCCUGCUAACAGCCUGUAUUAUUAGUCGUAUUAUAUCAUCAAAGUCACAGCACGUACAUACUAAGCCAAUACAUUACGAUAAAGAUCAGUAGGUCUGUUGCCGAAAAAACGAAUGUAUCGGCUUGGCCGCCACAAUUAUCUUUACACCCCCUUUAUACAUAAAAGGGGGUGUAAAGAUAAUUUGGGAUGGUCAAAUUGCCGGCGUUUUGGCUAGAUUUGAAUGGUGUAUAAUUUUCAAUGAAAGAUUGUCGAAACUUCAGCCUGGCUUCAGUCUUCAAAACAACGUUCAAAACAGUAUUGUGCGACUCACAAGUGUAGCCUGGAUCUCUGUGGUUACUGUAUGUAGAGUUCCCCUUGUGACCAGCUACAGGGUUUUGUGCUGGCCUUUUUUCCCUGGGUACAGAGGGCUGGGGCCGUCGUUGCUGACAGUGUUGAAUUAUAACCCCCACAGAUCAGGCUGCACAAGUCUAGAUGAUGGAAGUCUCCCUCAGCUAGUUGGCCUAUUAUCAUAUUAGCAGGAAUUGAAUUCAGAGCACCAUGCACCCUAACUAUUGCUCACUCUGGGCCAUAUUCCAAUGGAAACUAUCGUAUUGACUUUCCUGUAAUUCAAUGUAUAUUUCAUAACAUGUUACUUUUCUUCUUUCAGUCCAGAAAACAAGAGCGAUGCAUUGAAGUCAGAAGACCUGCCUCUGCACCCCGUACCUCAGAAGGGAUGGUUUGAUGGAUCCCGCUAACAUCAGCCAAAAGAGUGACAAGAAGCCUAGUUUGUAACCUGGAGAACUAUUGUCUCUUCAAUAGGAUGAAGCAGGCUGACUUACAAAAGCACCCAACUCGGAUGCCACCUAUGGGCCGAACAUUCGCCGAAUUACACCCAUACCAGCAAACAUGGAGCUGGACAUUUACAUUUGAGUAAUUUAGUUAACGCCCUUAUUCUGAGCGACUUACAGUAGUGAGUGCAAAUGUCUAAUAUAACGUCCUCACAAUAAAAUGUAUUAACAAACACAUACACAUGAUAUUAAUGAUUUCCUUUUUCACUUAAUGGAAAGAAAAUUGUGCCUUGUUGAUAGUAGGUCAAGUCACAUUCUGUAAAAAGGAAACGCUCCCCAUUAAUAUAAAUAAUUUCAAAGAUUGUAUAUGUAUAUUAAAAUAUCCUUAGUAGUAUGUACACAUGAACAGUGCAUGCUCAGGAAACUUAACACAGACGUUAGAUUACA
ensembl:lncRNA